UACGGAGGGUGCAAGCGUUAUCCGGAUUCACUGGGUUUAAAGGGUGCGUAGGUGGGUUGGUAAGUCAGUGGUGAAAUCUCCGGGCUUAACUUGGAAACUGCCAUUGAUACUAUCAGUCUUGAAUAUUGUGGAGGUCAGCGGAAUAUGUCAUGUAGCGGUGAAAUGCUUAGAUAUGACAUAGAACACCAAUUGCGAAGGCAGCUGGCUACACAUAUAUUGACACUGAGGCACGAAAGCGUGGGGAUCAAACAGG
rnacentral:rRNA from 1 species